UGCAUACUUAGGCCCCACCUCCUUGCUCUAAGGUUCCAUGUUGUUGAAAUUGGACUCACAGCUGGAGGGUUGGAUGGCUUCCUGAUGUCCUCCACCCAGCUUGGCUUGGGGACACAAAGCAGGAGACUGGGGUAGAGUGGCCCUGUAACAGUGAACAGCAGCACCAGGAUCUUGGGACUCUUGAGAACAGCAAAUCCUCACCUAUGCUUUAUGGGACUUAAUUUGGAGGAAACACAGCUGGGUGCAUGGAGAUACUGGAGGCAGGAGGACCGUUGGGGAGAGAGCUGGCAUUACAAGCAUGUACACCUGGCUUCACGUGGUUCUGGGAACUUAACCUAUGAUUUGGUGCAAGCUAAUCCAGCACUCCCCAACAGGGACCAGAAACCAAUCUCCAGAUGAAACAAAGGUGCAUCUCUCCAGCUCUAAGGUUUGCUCUCAACCUCAAGUCCCUUUCUUCUGCCGCCCUUACAUGAAGUUGUGAAUAUUUGCUGGUCUGACCAGGCAAGGGCACAGCGGGGCAACAUGCUGAGCUCUGGAGCCAGAAAAGAAGCAGGUCCCACCAUCAGUGUUGCUAGCAAGGGAAGAGAGAAUCCCACUAAUGAGGUUGAGAAACCACUGGCCUAAAUCCAAAUGAGGUACAGACACUUUCAUGGCAACCAGCUGGCAUGGGUAAGAGCCACAGCACACACACUGGUAUGCAGGAGGUUUAUGAAGCAUGUU
rnacentral:lncRNA from 1 species